AUUGAACGCUGGCGGCAUGCUUUACACAUGCAAGUCGAACGGCAGCACGGGCUUCGGCCUGGUGGCGAGUGGCGAACGGGUGAGUAAUGCAUCGGAACGUGCCCAUGUUGUGGGGGAUAACUACGCGAAAGCGUGGCUAAUACCGCAUACGCCCUGAGGGGGAAAGCGGGGGAUUCUUCGGAACCUCGCGCAAUUGGAGCGGCCGAUGUCAGAUUAGCUUGUUGGUGAGGUAAAGGCUCACCAAGGCGACGAUCUGUAGCGGGUCUGAGAGGAUGAUCCGCCACACUGGGACUGAGACACGGCCCAGACUCCUACGGGAGGCAGCAGUGGGGAAUUUUGGACAAUGGGGGCAACCCUGAUCCAGCCAUGCCGCGUGAGUGAAGAAGGCCUCGGUUGUAAGCUCUUCUAGCCGGGAGGAAACGACACGCCCUAACACUAGCGUGUGGAGUGACGGUACCGGACCGAACGAAGCACCGGCGUAACCUACGUAGCCAGCACG
rnacentral:rRNA from 1 species